AAGGUUUUAAGUUAAUUAAACUAAUAAUCUUCAAAAUUGUUUAUAAAGAAAAUCUCUUUAAGCCUUA
rnacentral:tRNA from 1 species